rnacentral:rRNA from 1 species
CCUACGGGGGGCUGCAGUGGGGAAUCUUGCGCAAUGGGCGAAAGCCUGACGCAGCGACGCCGCGUGAGCGAUGAAGGCCUUCGGGUUGUAAAGCUCUGUGGGGAGAGAAGAAUAAGGGUUGGCUAACAUCCAACCUGAUGACGGUAUCUCCUUAGCAAGCACCGGCUAACUCUGUGCCAGCAGCCGCGGUAAGACAGAGGGUGCAAACGUUGGUGUGAAUCACGGGGCGUAGAGUGGGCGUGUGCGACGUGAAAUCCCACGGCUCAACCAUGGAAGUGCAUUCGAAACUGCCAGACUAGAGUCCUGGAGAGGAAGGCGGAAUACUCGGUGUAGAGGUGAAAUUCGUAGAUAUCGAGUGGAACACCGGUGGCGAAGGCGGCCUUCUGGACAGUGACUGACGCUGAAACGCGAAAGCGUGGGGAGCAAACAGGAUUAGAUACCCCAGUAGUC